UGGCUCAGUUGGUAGAGCGUGGUGUGUGCAACGCCAGGGUUGUGGGUUUGAUUCCCAC
rnacentral:tRNA from 1 species